rnacentral:rRNA from 1 species
AUUGAACGCUGGCGGUAGGCCUAACACAUGCAAGUCGAACGGCAGCACAGGAGAGCUUGCUCUCUGGGUGGCGAGUGGCGGACGGGUGAGGAAUGCAUCGGAAUCUACUCUUUCGUGGGGGAUAACGUAGGGAAACUUACGCUAAUACCGCAUACGACCUACGGGUGAAAGCCGGGGACCUUCGGGCCUGGCGCGAAUGAAUGAGCCGAUGCCCGAUUAGCUAGUUGGCGGGGUAAGAGCCCACCAAGGCGACGAUCGGUAGCUGGUCUGAGAGGAUGAUCAGCCACACUGGAACUGAGACACGGUCCAGACUCCUACGGGAGGCAGCAGUGGGGAAUAUUGGACAAUGGGCGCAAGCCUGAUCCAGCCAUACCGCGUGGGUGAAGAAGGCCUUCGGGUUGUAAAGCCCUUUUGUUGGGAAAGAAAAGCAGCCGGUUAAUACCCGGUUGUUCUGACGGUACCCAAAGAAUAAGCACCGGCUAACUUCGUGCCAGCCGCCGCAGUAAAAC